rnacentral:lncRNA from 1 species
CUGAACUCUAGGUCCUCUGACUCAAAGACAACUGUUCUUUCAAUUAAAAAACAGUACUUGUCCAUAAAAGUACCUUAAUAGCAAAAAGAACAAAAGAGUAAGAGGACUGGAGCAUGGUAGGCUUCCAUGGCACAGCCCUAGAAAUUAGAAUAUGCAAGAUAGCAUGUUCUCAUCAAUCCCAGAAGUGAGCCUAUUGCUCAGAUAGAGGCUCCUACAAGAUAAGAGCUUAAAGCUCGGCUGUGUUCCCAGCAACAAAGAACUGCACGUGGUACCUACACAGCAAUGGCUUCUAGAGGGUCACUUACUUGGACAAGCAUUCAGGAGCUCCUGCCAGAGAUCUGUCAUAUUGUGAAGAACAAAGGUGCUUUAUAAACAGUAGGAAAAACUGAAUGAAACAGGAUAUAGGAUGCAGUACUUAGUGCUGAAAGUUUCCUCUUGAGGAAAUCUUCCAUGGUGAGGAAAAUGUCAUGUCCUUUGGAGAGACAUGAACAAAACCUGGAGAACCAGGAAACUGAAAUUUGACUCUUCAUGGCAGAAAGCACAAAGCAUAGGUAACAGAAGCUCCUGAUGUUUGCCCAUGCUCCCUCCUGCCCACCAAGUAUCUCUUCUCUUUUUCUUGUGUAAUACCGUUGGAUACUUUAUAGUGCAUCCUAUCUACACUAAGCUUGAUCAUAUUAAAAACGGUCGGUUCUAGAAUCCUUUUGCAAUAACUGAUGCUGUGUCAGUAUGUCUGCUGAUGGUGGAUAUAUAUGUGAAAUUGAUUGUCUGAACUCAGAACACUAAAUGGCAUUAAAUCAGUCUAUGUAAUAUAAAGCAAUGCACAGCCCCUCUCCAAUUUACUGUCCAUUCACUGUUUUUCUUCCUACUUGAGUUUUAGAGAAAAUUGAAGCCAAAGUUCUGGACGUCCUUCCCACCAUUCCCUUCCAAGGAAAGUUUGAAAAU